UGACAUUCCGGGUGGCCUCGAAAGAAAGCGUGUGAGCAGCUACGGCACGGGAGUACCUGUGCUGUGGCGAGAAUGAAGCCGGCCGAGACCGCGAGGUCUUCGGUCAAGCGACAAAGCAGGCAAGCCACUUCUGGCGAAAGAAAUUUCAAGUGAAGGGUUUGAUCCUGGCUCAGAACGAACGUUGGCGGCGUGGAUGAGGCAUGCAAGUCGAACGUGAAAGCCGCAAGGUGAGUAGCGUGGCGGACGGGCGAGUAACACGUAAUCAAGCUGCCUGCGAGACGGGGAUAACCUCGGGAAACCGAGGCUAAGACCCGAUGGUCUUUCUGCUUCGCAUGGAGUGGAAAGUAAAUGGGCGGGAUCCUUUGGACCGCCUGCUCGCAGAGGUGAUUGCGGUCCAUCAGCUAGUUGGUAGGGUAAUGGCCUACCAAGGCGACGACGGGUAGCCGGCCUUAGAGGGUGGUCGGCGCACUGGGACUGAGACACUGCCCAGACUCCUACGGGAGGCUGCAGUCGAGAA
rnacentral:rRNA from 1 species